CGGUGACAUCCUCUUCGAAGGAAAUCGAAGGAUUCGCAUUCCAGGUCGUCCGUGCAAUAAGCACGAAAGGUUAAACCAAAAACUGUGAUAAAACUGUGAUAUAGUGUAGUUGUUUGUUUUGUGCAGAUCCUUGGGUUUUCUGGGUAUUUGCGUUUUCAUAUCAUAUCGGUUUAAAACUUAAAUGUGUGGUCGUGACCCGUGACGUCGAAAUCCUAUGCGAUCCUGCAAACAGCCGAAGUCCUUAACUGGCGACUUUCAGCACAGCUGAAAGUUAGUCCAGUUGACGAGCGGCUUGUUUAGUGAAAAUUCGGACGAAAUUGUAGACGCAAGACGACUGGCGCGGAGUCUACCGGCUGGUGAUCGGCUCCAUCUCCCCUUAUUGAGGCUGAAA